rnacentral:rRNA from 1 species
AGCGAACGCUGGCGGCAGGCCUAACACAUGCAAGUCGAGCGGCCGUAGCAAUACGGCAGCGGCAGACGGGAGAGUAACACGUGGGAACGCGCCCUUCGGUCUGGAAUAACCCAGGGAAACUUGGGCUAAUACCGGAUACGCCCUUACGGGGAAAGAUUUCUUGCCGAAGGAACGGCCCGCGUCAGAUUAGCUAGUUGGUGAGGUAACGGCACACCAAGGCGACGAUCGGUAGCUGGUCUGAGAGGAUGACCAGCCUCACUGGGACUGAGACACGGCCCAGACUCCUACGGGAGGCAGCAGUGGGGAAUAUUGGACAAUGGGCGCAAGCCUGAUCCAGCCAUGCCGCGUGGGUGAUGAAGGCCCUAGGGUUGUAAAGCCCUUUCAGCGGGGAAGAUAAUGACGGUACCCGCAGAAGAAGCCCCGGCUAACUUCGUGCCAGCCGCCGCAGUAACAC